UCCAAUGUGGUCUAGUGGCUAGGAUUUGCCGCUCUCAUAUAGCGCCGGCAAGGCCGGGGUUCGAUUCCCCGCAUUGGAA
rnacentral:tRNA from 1 species